GACGAACGCGGCGGCGUGCCUAAUACAUGCAAGUAGAACGCUGAAGGAGGAGCUUGCUUCUCUGGAUGAGUUGCGAACGGGUGAGUAACGCGUAGGUAACCUGCCUGGUAGCGGGGGAUAACUAUUGGAAACGAUAGCUAAUACCGCAUAAGAGUAGAUGUUGCAUGACAUUUGCUUAAAAGGUGCAAUUGCAUCACUACCAGAUGGACCUGCGUUGUAUUAGCUAGUUGGUGGGGUAACGGCUCACCAAGGCGACGAUACAUAGCCGACCUGAGAGGGUGAUCGGCCACACCGGGACUGAGACACGGCCCAGACUCCUACGGGAGGCAGCAGUAGGGAAUCUUCGGCAAUGGACGGAAGUCUGACCGAGCAACGCCGCGUGAGUGAAGAAGGUUUUCGGAUCGUAAAGCUCUGUUGUAAGAGAAGAAACGAAGUGUGAAGAAGUGGAAAAGUUCAC
rnacentral:rRNA from 1 species